CAAGCGUCCCUCGAGGUGACAUGGCAGCGGGUCCCUGGGAGGUGCUGGAGACAGACUUGGGACGCCCUGAGGCCACCGAGGAGCUGCCCGGGCAGGCGGGGAGCACUCAGAGGCAGCCGAGGAAGGACCGUGAGAAAAGAUGCCAAUGUGCUGGGGAGCAGCGACAGAGCGAAUAGCAGGUCCCAUGGCCUAAGGAGGAGAGAUCCCGACUUGGUGUCUCCGAGGAGGAUCAAGACGAGCGGGAGUUGAGCAUGCCAGAACCGGCGCCCCUCGGCGCAGACAAGAAAGCGGUGGAGAAGAAGCGUGCGGAGAAGGUGGGAGCGAAAGGCAGCACCUCCGUGCCCCCAGUCCCCAAGAGCCUCCCUGUGAAGAGGACAGUGGAGCCCCAAAGCCUCGACCCCAUGGAGGAGCCGCUCAUCUGGGAAGGGCUCACCCUCAACAAAUGCAUCCUCGUGGCCUCCUUCGUCGCCCUGCUCAGUGUCAGCUUCCAGGUGCUCCAAGCACCUUGCUCUAGGGAAGGAAUUAGCAGUGACAGACAGGCCCCUCCACCUCCACCCCUUCACGAGGUCAUUGACACCAAGGAGGACAUCCCAGAAGUGGUGGCUGCCCCACCGGUCCAACCCGAGAGCAGCCUGUUCGAGGACAGUGAUGGUGACGAUGACAGGGAAGAUGACAGUGAAGCUGACAGCAACCUGGCCGAGCCGUGGAUCUUCAAGAAAUGGUUUGGCCGCUUGGAGCAAGAGGACGAAGAGGAAGAACCCGAAGCCGAACCUGAGGAGCCACCAGCCAAGGUCGAGGUGAGGAAGAGCCGAGAGAAGCCCAGAGGCCCGGAGAGGAAAGAAGAGAAGCUCAGGGAAAGUCGUGCAGCCCAGGUGGAGAGGAGCAGCCGGAAGGAGACGCGACCCAAGGACAGAGCCCCUGAGGACAAGGCUGGCAGAACCCCAAGGGCACCCAAGGAGCCAGAGCAGCAGCCCUACAAGAAGCGGGGCCGGGAGGGCAAGGAGGGCAGGCGAGAAGGGAGGGAGCGCGAUGAGCACAAGAAAGAUGAGUGGAAGGGCCGCCCCGCCAAGGCUGACCGCGAGGACAACCGGAAGCGGGACUGGAGGCAGCAGCGAGGAGAGCAGAAGGGCAAGAAGCCCUGGGAGCAUCACACGUCUGCCCCGGGGAAGGACAGCACUGCCAGGCCCAGGGAAGGCAAGAAGCGUGACUGAGACCCCGGCCUGCGGGACUGGGAUGAACAAGGGGCUGAAUGACACUAAAUCCAGGGAGGGGGGGGGGUCCAAACUCCCCCAGCCUGGGCACUGCCACUGCAGCCAGCACCCCAGCAACCCCCCAGGGCCAAGAUCCACCCAUCUCCUACCACUCCCUGCCUGCUCUCCAGAGACACCCGGACUCCAUCUGUCUGCUGAAAUCCCCAGCCUCAGCCGUGCCUCCACCCCAUGCUUUGAGAGGAGCCAGCGGCUUGUGUGGUCAGAGCAUCAGGUGAAGACACCUGGGUCCUGUUUCCCACUCUGCCACCAGCUCGCUGGGAGACCCUGCCCAAGUCACAUCACUUCUUUAUCCUUCCGUCUCCCCCGUCCCCAAGCCGGGCAUCGCAGUCAGAGCAGGCAGGUGCUCCUGCACCUCCGAGCAGAGACACCAGGCAGUUAAAGCAGCCCAGGAGCAUGGCACAAGCCUCCCUGCGGACUUUGGGCCCCUCUGGAUUAGAUGCAUGAAGGCAAGCUGAAAGGACCGGGGAAAUGAGCUUCUCUCCACUUGGGCUUCAUGCUAAUUCUCCAUCCCCACCAGAAAUACCUCUUGCCAUUCACUUUUGCUUUGCAAACCAGGCCUGCCACACAGUACCUGAGGCAUCAGGAUGGUGCAGUCAGCAAGGAGCCGCUGUAGUGAUACCAGCGAACAGAGUUUGCCUGCAGACUGUUUAGCGCUUGAAUUCAAUUAAUUGUUUUAUUAAAAGCAAAUCAAGAGAGAAGUUUCUUCUAGGUUAAAGAAGCCGGGCUGCUGCCAUCCUUGGAUGGACUUCAGGGAAACAAGCACAAAGACCUAGCCAGGCCCUGGUGCCAUCGCCGCAGGAUGAAGCGAAGCUGGCUAGAAACAAAACCCCGCUGACGCAGCCCAUGGCCCUGGGCUCCCUUUGGGACUUGCCUUUACAGAGUAGCUUAUAGGAACAAACCAGAAGUGCAAUAUCUCACAGUGCUGUAGUAACUACAGGAGACGUUAACAGCCCCAAGCCGUGGCAGAUUGCAGUAUUUACUACAUCAAUAGAGGUUAAAAUAAACUAUUUUCAUUUUUAAUAACRUAUUAAAUU
rnacentral:lncRNA from 1 species